rnacentral:misc_RNA from 1 species
AGACUAUCCAAAACUCUCAGCAGCCGUUGCUGGUGAUAGAAAAUACGAUGUUUACAUGGGAAUAGACGUAUUUGGAAGGGGUACCUAUGGUGGUGGAGAAUGGAAUGUGAGUGCUACAUAAAUCCUGAGUUUAAUAUCUUAUCUCUAAUACAAUUUUUAUUACAUUCAACCUACGUAGAAGAUAGUCCAAAAAAAAUUUACAUGUCAAAUGUGAUCUCAUUAAGAUUAUGUUAAUGAACAAAGGUUUGUUUAGCUUUUGUUAAAUUCAUAUGCUUUUACAAGAACUAUUUGAACAUCAGACGAACGUUGCGCUUGACGUGUGCAAGAAAGAUGAUGUAUCAGCUGUAUUAUUUGCCCCUGGAUGGGUCUAUGAGACGAAGCAACCACCUGAUUUUCAAACUGCUCAAA